UAUCACUAAGCGGAGGAAAAGAAACUAACCAGGAUUCCCCUAGUAACUGCGAGUGAAGAGGGAUUAGCCCAGCACCGAAGCCUGUGGUCAUUUGACUGCUAGGCAAUGUGGUGUUUAGGUUGGUUCUUGGCAUUACUGCUCUACUCCAAGUCCAGCAAUGAGUACGGCUUACUGGAACGGCCCAUAGAGGGUGAAAGGCCCGUGGGGGUAGAGGCUUACAGUUUUGUCCUGAAUUGACCAUGGAGUCGGGUUGUUUGUGAAUGCAGCCCAAAGUGGGUGGUAAACUCCAUCUAAGGCUAAAUACUGGCACAAGUCCGAUAGUAAACAAGUACCGUGAGGGAAAGUUGAAAAGUACUUUGAAGAGAGAGUAAACAGUGCGUGAAACCGCUCAGAGGUAAACGGGUGGAGUUGAACUGCAAUCCUUGAGGAUUCAGCUGAUGAGUAUGACAUGGGCUUGGACAUAUUGACUGGCGCUCAGAGAUCAGCGAUUUGCUGGGUUUCUGCUCUUCGGAGUGGGAAUGCAUUGUGUACUUGUCAAGUAUACGGCUCUUUGGGUUGACCGGGUCUGCUCGUCAGUGCACUUUCUCUUGGUGUUCACCACGACCGGCACUGCUGUCUGUCUACUAUGGUUAAACCGGUUAGGCUUAGUCUUAUGGCUAGGCUUGAUCGGGAUGGCAGGUAGCUCUUUGAUUCUUGUCAGCUUCGGUUGGCUUGAGUCUUUGAGUGUAAUUAGCUGACUGUAGUGGAUCUGUGCAGUGUGUCGGAGCUGGCGGCUUUGGUAUGUGCAUGCGUGCUAUGGCCUUUUGGCGGAGCUGAGUCUGGUCGGCAAGUUACCUGUUUUGGCAGGUCGGUCGAUGUCUUAGUUUCGUUCAUUGGGUGGUGGCGUGUGUGAUACUAUCUUGGGCCAAUAGUCUGUGGUGUAGUGGUAAACGAUCCACCUGACCCGUCUUGAAACACGGACCAAGGAGUUUAACAUGUACGCGAGUCAUUGGGCGUUACGAAACCCAAAGGCGUAAUGAAGGUAAAGGUUCGGCUUGUCCGAGCUGAGGUGAGAUCCUGCUGUUUCCUUUGCCUUGCACUGUCAAGCUUUCGAGCAGUAGGCGC
rnacentral:rRNA from 1 species